UUGAACGCUGGCGGCGUGGCUAAAGCAUGCAAGUCGAGCGAACCCGCAAGGGUGAGCGGCGGACGGGUUAGUAAUACGAUCGAACGUGCCCUGAGGCGGGGGAUAGGCGUGGGAAACUGCGCGUAAUACCCCAUGAUCUCUCCGGAGCAAAGGUUUACCACCUUGGGAUCGGCGAUCGUCCUAUCAGCUAGUUGGCGGGUAAAGGCCCACCAAGGCUAUGACGGGUAGCAGGUGUGAGAGCACGACCUGCAACAUCGGGACUGAGACACUGCCCGGACUCCUACGGGAGGCUGCAGCGACGAAUCUUCCGCAAUGGGCGCAAGCCUGACGGAGCGACGCCGCGUGUGGGAUGAAGCGCCUUCGGCGUGUAAACCACUGUCAGGGAACAGAACCAAUGAUCGUUCCCAAAGGAAGAGACGGCUAACCCUGUGCCAGCAGCCGCGGUAA
rnacentral:rRNA from 1 species